rnacentral:rRNA from 1 species
UACGUAGGGUGCGAGCGUUGUCCGGAAUUACUGGGCGUAAAGAGCUCGUAGGUGGUUUGUCGCGUUGUUCGUGAAAACCGGGGGCUUAACCCUCGGCGUGCGGGGGAUACGGGCAGACUGGAGUACUGCAGGGGAGACUGGAAUUCCUGGUGUAGCGGUGGAAUGCGCAGAUAUCAGGAGGAACACCGGUGGCGAAGGCGGGUCUCUGGGCAGUAACUGACGCUGAGGAGCGAAAGCGUGGGGAGCGAACAGG